rnacentral:rRNA from 1 species
GAUGAACGCUGGCGGCGUGCUUAACACAUGCAAGUCGAACGGUGAAAGAGAGCUUGCUCUCUGGAUCAGUGGCGAACGGGUGAGUAACACGUGAGCAAUCUGCCCCUGACUCUGGGAUAAGCGCUGGAAACGGCGUCUAAUACCGGAUACGAGCUGCGAAGGCAUCUUCAGCAGCUGGAAAGAACUUCGGUCAGGGAUGAGCUCGCGGCCUAUCAGCUAGUUGGUGAGGUAAUGGCUCACCAAGGCGUCGACGGGUAGCCGGCCUGAGAGGGUGACCGGCCACACUGGGACUGAGACACGGCCCAGACUCCUACGGGAGGCAGCAGUGGGGAAUAUUGCACAUUGGGCGAAAGCCUGAUGCAGCAACGCCGCGUGAGGGACGACGGCCUUCGGGUUGUAAAGCUCUUUCGGCAGGAACGAAACGGCGGGCUCUAACAUAGCCUGCUAAUGACGGUACCUGAAGAAGAAGCACCGGCUAACUAC